GAUUUCUUCAAAUUGCACUGGAUGAACAUUUGAGGUGAAAAUUCCUUGUCAAUUAUAGAAGAGCUGAAGAUUGAAUGCCUAAGGGAUUUUAAGAAGCAAAAGAAAAAUGCGAUUCGACGGAUGGAAGAAAAAGUUGUGGACUCCUUUGUGAAAAUCAAGGGAGAAAUCAUCUUUCCUGUUCAGCAUCUCUUGGAAUCUGUGCUUGGUCAAUGGAGUUGAAUGUGAAUAUAGGAGCCACCCUGUCACCAGAAGGACCAUCCAGGACCCUGCCCUGCAUUUGCUUCAGGAAUAAAGAAUCACUUUAUAUUCUGAAAGGUUCUGUGGCCUCCUUAAUGCCAAUGAGACUAAUCUGAAGAAAGAGCCAAAUAAGUAGCAUCCAGAGGCUGUGUUUAGACAGUGCCUCCUACAAGCAAGUGGCCACGGGGAAACUCCACGGUGGAAGUCAGCAUUAUCCACAAUAGAAUCAACCUGUGUCAUUCAGAAGAUGAAUAGAUAAAGAAAAUGAGCCAUCUAAGAAGUCCCUUUCAUCUCCUGCCAUGAUUAUGAGGCCUCCCCAGCCAUGUGGAACUGUAAGUCCAAUUAAAC